UAAGGGGUAUUCAAGGUGAAGCAUCGAAAGUCUUCCCAGCAAAGGUGGUCUAGGCGGCGUGUCCUGCGGUGUUUUGCGGCGGUGUGAUGGACGAAUACUCGUGGUGGUGGAGGAGCUAGAAAGAGGGGGAGUUGGUGCUUGAUGUGGAGGCUCGCACUUGAGGGGGAGAUUGUUAGUGUUGCAAGUGUGAGGAGUGUUGAAGUUAGUCCCACAUCAAAGAAAGCAUGGAAGAGUGAGGAGUUUAUAAGAUGAGAGACCCAUUAACUUGACACCUUAAGGUUUUGAGUUGGAUGUGGUGUCUUCUCAUCUUAUGUUCUCUCACUUGAUUCCUCCCCGAAUUCUCCCCGGUUGUCGAGAGCUCCCCACGGUUGGCCCAACAAAUAUUAGAAGCAGA